rnacentral:tRNA from 1 species
GUGAGCGUAGCUCAGUUGGUAGAGCAUCAGACUGUGGCUCUGAAUGUCGCGGGUUCGAGUCCCGUCGCUCACCCCA